UCGGGAUAGCUCAGCCG
rnacentral:tRNA from 2 species